AUGCCAAGCAGGACUGGGAAGGAUUAGCUGGCCAGCUUUUAAAACUUUCAUAGAGCAAAGCAUGACAGAAGUUCUGCUGAGCUUGGACGUAUAGAAACAAAGCAACAACAACCAAUAACACGCUCUACUCCCUCCUUCUGUAACACCGGAUGUUAAAAAAAAAACAGAAGGGGCUAAUGGGAUUCAUGGAAAGCACAAAGAUGUUAGAAGACUUGGAGACAAUGGAAUGAAGGAUUGACUAAACCAGAACUCAGGGAGCACUGUGGAAGAGGAAAGAAUGUAAGAACCAGAGGAGAUGGAGGACACCAGGAGAACAAGACCCACUAAGUCAACGAAGCAAUGCUAAUGUCAACUCACAGCAAUGGAAGCAGCAAGCACGGGGCCAACACAGGAAGGGCAAGCUGGUGCUUCUCAGCUGUCCAGCUUUGUCUGAUGGUCAUAAACGAAGGCUGCGAGUAAGGUGGUGAUUGAUGAACUAUAGAGGAAAACUUCAGUGGCUUCAGCAGAUGGGUGUCAAAUCGAUUCUGGUUUCCUCUGCAUCCCCCAUAUAUAAAUUCUUCACAUUGCUGAGUAAAAAUGUUGAAAAAGUAACUCCUUAUCAUGGCUUUGCACGGCCCAUCCUCUACCUUCAUUGCGCAAAAUGUGUGCUUCGGUUUCAUUAGUGGCUGAUCCGAAUCUAGAAGGCUCGAUCAGCUAACCAGAUCCUGCCACCAUCCACCACCACAACCUCCACCCCCCACGCCAUCCUGGCCUUUGACUCAAAUUCCGGCCUUCCUGGACUGCCACGACAACCCUCCCCAGUCCAGCUAAGAAGCAGCUACAUUACAUCACCCCUUAUCACCAACGAAAGGCUAGACUAUUAGUUCCCUCAGCUGUCCAAGUAUACAGAAACGAGCUCAAGCUGGACUACAGGAGGAUUUCUGGAGGUUAGAUAGAAGCCAGCAUUCCUUGAGGAAUUUUUGAAACUAGUUCCCAUCUGCCAAAAGUUGUCAUUUCCCUUACCUCUGUCAGAAGUGACAUACGGUUCCAUUGAGCUAGAUGUGGCUGCAUAUCAAAGCCAUGUCAGCCUCCGGGCUCCCUCAAUCCCUACUCAUAAAUACUUGUUAUACAUUUCAAAGUCCCCACACCAGUCUCCUUCCUGGCCUCCCUUCCCAGCUACCCAUUCUCGUCUUCUGACUAUACUCAUUCCUGUUAUCCGCUGACUAUCCCCUGUUCCUGUGCUCUAACCGAGCUCUAUUCUCUGUCUCUCACUAUCUUCUCUCCUGCUCUCCUACUUCCCCAGUCUGCCUGCAUCUUUUUUUCUCUGCUCUGGACUCCUCCAGAUGCCCCUGGCUGUUCUCGCUCUCCUAUCUCCAGUAAAAAGCUUAACCUUAUCAUGGAGCAAUCAUGUCAGCAGUUCCUUUACUUCAUCCCCUCGUAUACAAGAACUAAACGCAUGCUCAGACCCUUGAAAACAUGCUCAAAACUCAACUCUCAAAGCACAUGCAAGCUGUUAGAUAAUGUUAGAUUAUUUAAGACAGCUGUAGAGAGGCAGAAGAAGGAAAGAAAGAGAGGCUUGGUCUGACCUUAGGUGGGACCAUGUUUAUUCACAGCGAGGAAGCACUUUAUCACUCACAUGUGCAGAUGGCCAAAAUGCCUACAGAAGAAGAUGGGAUGCGGGCCCCUUAUAGGGGCGGAAAUGACUUCCGUAGUCCACAAGGGAAGCUGGGAAGUGUAGUCUUUGAGCAGGAAACUAUCAUUCCUAACUCUGAGAGGAUAUAAAAAAAAAUGCAGGGUGAGGGUGUUAUAACUAUUUUCUGCUGAGGAGGGUCUUUGUUGGAGGGGGUGGUUACAGGUCCAUUGAAGAGGGGGAUCUUCUGGUCACAUAGCAAGGGAAAAUCUUAACUUGAUCAGAUGCAACAGAUUGUGUAUUUGUCAUCCUGCAUUACUGAAGAGACUUGAAAAAAUAUUAUUAUCAUUAUUA